UUCAAAAUGAGAAGAUCCUGCCAUGGAAAAGACAACUGGUUGGACAUAAAGUGUAAAGGAGGGGAAAUAACUCCCACCAUGCAGCAGGACACCUUCAGCUGUGGUGUCUUUGUAAUGCAGAUGGCCAAGGAAGUUGCACAGAACUUCCCCAACAUCCCCUCCCAAAUUGAUAUGGAACCUUCAAAAACACAUGGAGCAACUGCGAAAAGAAAUGCCUGAGGAUAUACUAAAAAUGUCUGAGUUCAACAAAGCCAACAACUGCUUCAUGUGUGCCACUGAUAAAGAACCUGGAUGUGGCCCAAAGACUGAUUGGAAUUUUUUGCAUGCCAACGGUGGUUCCAUGUGCCGUAACUAGGAAUGAAGACAAAAGAGUUCAACAGAGUAAUGAACACAAACUGGAAGUGCAGUCUGAAAUGUACAUCAACCAGGGAUA